AACGCAUAUUGCGCUCGAGGCUUCGGCCAAGAGCAUGUCUGCCUCAGCGUCGGGUUUAUCUCCAUUCCUCAUACCCAUUGCCCAAACACCAAUGGAAUGUGCAGGGAUCGGAACUGGUUGUUCCAAGCCAUUGAGUUGACUUGGAUCGACUGAAGAGCAGAGUGAAGAUCGAAUAUCCCUUCUCUGGGUCCCUCAGAGAGGGUCGCAACUGGGCAGUGAGCGAGAAGCUGCAAAGCUUUCCCUCUUCUUUGCUAGUUGUUGGCCUCACGGGAUCUCGAUGUUAUGCUUCACUGAAACCAGGAGAUAGAGGAGCGCCCUUUUGGGUGUGACUUUCAUCAACCCACACAUCCUCGACCUGAGCUCAGGCAAGAACACCCGCUGAACUUAA
rnacentral:misc_RNA from 1 species